rnacentral:rRNA from 1 species
GCAGGAGCUUGCUCUUGUGGAUCAGUGGCGAACGGGUGAGUAACACGUGAGCAACCUGCCCCUGACUCUGGGAUAAGCGCUGGAAACGGCGUCUAAUACUGGAUAUGUGACGUGACCGCAUGGUCUGCGUUUGGAAAGAUUUUUCGGUUGGGGAUGGGCUCGCGGCCUAUCAGCUUGUUGGUGAGGUAAUGGCUCACCAAGGCGUCGACGGGUAGCCGGCCUGAGAGGGUGACCGGCCACACUGGGACUGAGACACGGCCCAGACUCCUACGGGAGGCAGCAGUGGGGAAUAUUGCACAAUGGGCGAAAGCCUGAUGCAGCAACGCCGCGUGAGGGAUGACGGCCUUCGGGUUGUAAACCUCUUUUAGCAGGGAAGAAGCGAAAGUGACGGUACCUGCAGAAAAAGCGCCGGCUAACUACGUGCCAGCAGCCGCGGUAAUACGUAGGGCGCAAGCGUUAUCCGGAAUUAUUGGGCGUAAAGAGCUCGUAGGCGGUUUGUCGCGUCUGCUGUGAAAUCCCGAGGCUCAACCUCGGGCCUGCAGUGGGUACGGGCAGACUAGAGUGCGGUAGGGGAGAUUGGAAUUCCUGGUGUAGCGGUGGAAUGCGCAGAUAUCAGGAGGAACACCGAUGGCGAAGGCAGAUCUCUGGGCCGUAACUGACGCUGAGGAGCGAAAGGGUGGGGAGCAAACAGGCUUAGAUACCCUGGUAGUCCACCCCGUAAACGUUGGGAACUAGUUGUGGGGUCCAUUCCACGGAUUCCGUGACGCAGCUAACGCAUUAAGUUCCCCGCCUGGGGAGUACGGCCGCAAGGCUAAAACUCAAAGGAAUUGACGGGGACCCGC